GAUUUCUUCGGAAUGAACUUAAGUGGAUUAGUGGCGAACGGGUGAGUAACACGUGAGUAACCUGCCUUACACAAGGGGAUAGCCUCUGGAAACGGAGAAUAAUACCCUAUAAAGUCUAAUCAGCCCAUGCUGGAAAGACCAAAGAUUUAUCGGUGUAAGAUGGACUUGCGUCUGAUUAGCUAGUUGGUGAGAUAAAAGCUCACCAAGGCGACGAUCAGUAGCCGGCUUGAGAGAGUGUACGGCCACAUUGGGACUGAGACACGGCCCAAACUCCUACGGGAGGCAGCAGUGGGGAAUUUUGCACAAUGGGGGAAACCCUGAUGCAGCGACGCCGCGUGAUUUAGAAGGCCUUCGGGUUGUAAAAAUCUUUUUUACGGGAUGAAAAUGACAGUACCGUAAGAAUAAGGUCCGGCUAAAUACGUGCCAGCAGCCGCGGUAAUACGUAUGGACCGAGCGUUGUCCGGAAUCAUUGGGCGUAAAGGGUACGUAGGCGGCCUAGUAAGUUAGAAGUUAAAGAAUAUAGCUCAACUAUAUAAAGCUUUUAAAACUACUAGGCUUGAGAGAUGGAAGGGAAAGUGGAAUUCCUAGUGUAGCGGUGAAAUGCGCAGAUAUUAGGAAGAAUACCGGUGGCGAAGGCGACUUUCUGGUCAUCAUCUGACGCUGAGGUACGAAAGCGUGGGUAGCAAACAGGAUUAGAUACCCUGGUAGUCCACGCUGUAAACGAUGAGUGUUAGGUUCUUGGAAUAAUCUGGGAGCCGCAGCUAACGCAUUAAACACUCCGCCUGGGGAGUACGCACGCAAGUGUG
rnacentral:rRNA from 1 species